rnacentral:rRNA from 1 species
GGGUGAGUAACACGUGGGUAACCUGCCCUAAAGUCUGGGAUACCACUUGGAAACAGGUGCUAAUACCGGAUAACAACAAUAGCUGCAUGGCUAUUGCUUAAAAGGCGGCGAAAGCUGUCGCUAAAGGAUGGACCCGCGGUGCAUUAGCUAGUUGGUAAGGUAAUGGCUUACCAAGGCGACGAUGCAUAGCCGAGUUGAGAGACUGAUCGGCCACAUUGGGACUGAGACACGGCCCAAACUCCUACGGGAGGCAGCAGUAGGGAAUCUUCCACAACGGGCGAAAGCCUGAUGGAGCAACGCCGCGUGAGUGAAGAAGGUUUUCGGAUCGUAAAGCUCUGUUGUUGGUGAAGAAGGAUAGAGGUAGUAACUGGCCCCUAUUUGACGGUAAUCAACCAGAAAGUCACGGCUAACUACGUGCCAGCAGCCGCGGUAAUACGUAGGUGGCAAGCGUCGUCCGGAUUUAUUGGGCGUAAAGCGAGCGCAGGCGGAAAGAUAAGUCUGAUGUGAAAGCCCCCGGCUUAACCGAGGAAUUGCAUCGGAAACUGUGUUUCUUGAGUGCAGAAGAGGAGAGUGGAACUCCAUGUGUAGCGGUGGAAUGCGUAGAUAUAUGGAAGAACACCAGUGGCGAAGGCGGCUCUCUGGUCUGUAACUGACGCUGAGGCUCGAAAGCAUGGGUAGCGAACAGGAUUAGAUACCCUGGUAGUCCAUGCCGUAA